rnacentral:rRNA from 1 species
AUACGGAGGGUGCAAGCGUUAUCCGGAUUUACUGGGUUUAAAGGGUGCGCAGGCGGUAAUAUAAGUCAGUGGUGAAAGCCUACAGCUCAACUGUAGAACUGCCAUUGAAACUGUAUUACUUGAGUAUGGUAGAGGUAGGCGGAAUACAACAUGUAGCGGUGAAAUGCAUAGAUAGGUUGUAGAACACCGAUUGCGAAGGCAGCUUACUAAACCAUUACUGACGCUCAGGCACGAAAGCGUGGGGAGCGAACAGGAUUAGAAACCCUAGUAGUCC